rnacentral:rRNA from 1 species
CCGUCGAAGAGGGUAACAACCCCGUAGUCGAAACUUCGUUCUCUCUUGAAUGUAUCCUGAGUACGGCGGAACACGUGAAAUUCCGUCGGAAUCUGGGAGGACCAUCUCCCAAGGCUAAAUACUCCCUAGUGAUCGAUAGUGAACCAGUACCGUGAGGGAAAGGUGAAAAGCACCCCGGAAGGGGAGUGAAAGAGAUCCUGAAACCGUGUGCCUACAAAUAGUCAGAGCCCGUUAAUGGGUGAUGGCGUGCCUUUUGUAGAAUGAACCGGCGAGUUACGAUCCCGUGCAAGGUUAAGCUGAAGAGGCGGAGCCGCAGCGAAAGCGAGUCUGAAUAGGGCGUUUAGUACGUGGUCGUAGACCCGAAACCAGGUGAUCUACCCAUGUCCAGGGUGAAGUUCAGGUAACACUGAAUGGAGGCCCGAACCCACGCACGUUGAAAAGUGCGGGGAUGAGGUGUGGGUAGCGGAGAAAUUCCAAUCGAACCUGGAGAUAGCUGGUUCUCCCCGAAAUAGCUUUAGGGCUAGCCUUAAGUGUAAGAGUCUUGGAGGUAGAGCACUGAUUGAACUAGGGGUCCUCAUCGGAUUACCGAAUUCAGUCAAACUCCGAAUGCCAAUGACUGCGAGUGAUAAGAUCCGUAGUCAAGAGGUAAACAGCCCAGAUCGCCAGCUAAGGUCCCAAAGUGUGUAUUAAGUGGAAAAGGAUGUGGAGUUGCUUAGACAACUAGGAUGUUGGCUUAGAAGCAGCCACCAUUUAAAGAGUGCGUAAUAGCUCACUAGUCGAGUGACUCUGCGCCGAAAAUGUACCGGGGCUAAAUACACCACCGAAGCUGCGAAUUGAUACCGAUGGUAUCAGUGGUAGGGGAGCGUUCUAAGUGCAGUGAAGUCAGACCGGAAGGACUGGUGGAGCGCUUAGAAGUGAGAAUGCCGGUAUGAGUAGCGAAAGACGGGUGAGAAUCCCGUCCACCGAAUGCCUAAGGUUUCCUGAGGAAGGCUCGUCCGCUCAGGGUUAGUCAGGACCUAAGCCGAGGCCGACAGGCGUAGGCGAUGGACAACAGGUUGAUAUUCCUGUACCACCUCUUUAUCGUUUGAGCAAUGGAGGGACGCAGAAGGAUAGAAGAAGCGUGCGAUUGGUUCCCCGCUGCCAAGAAAAGCUUCUAGCGAGAUAAAAGGUGCCUGUACCGCAAACCGACACAGGUAGGCGAGGAGAGAAUCCUAAGGUGUGCGAGAGAACUCUGGUUAAGGAACUCGGCAAAAUGACCCCGUAACUUCGGGAGAAGGGGUGCUUUCUUAACGGAAAGCCGCAGUGAAUAGGCCCAAGCGACUGUUUAGCAAAAACACAGCUCUCUGCGAAGCCGUAAGGCGAAGUAUAGGGGGUGACACCUGCCCGGUGCUGGAAGGUUAAGGAGAGGGGUUAGCGUAAGCGAAGCUCUGAACUGAAGCCCCAGUAAACGGCGGCCGUAACUAUAACGGUCCUAAGGUAGCGAAAUUCCUUGUCGGGUAAGUUCCGACCCG